rnacentral:sRNA from 1 species
AUUGAUAGCUGUUAAAAUGGAAGAUGCUUUGGGAUUUAUUUU